rnacentral:rRNA from 1 species
CCUACGGGAGGCAGCAGUGGGGAAUAUUGGACAAUGGGGGGAACCCUGAUCCAGCCAUGCCGCGUGUGUGAAGAAGGCCCUCGGGUUGUAAAGCACUUUCAGUGAGGAAGAACGCCUGGUGGUUAAUACCCAUCAGGAAAGACAUCACUCACAGAAGAAGCACCGGCUAACUCCGUGCCAGCAGCCGCGGUAAUACGGAGGGUGCGAGCGUUAAUCGGAAUUACUGGGCGUAAAGCGCGCGUAGGUGGCUUGAUAAGCCGGUUGUGAAAGCCCCGGGCUCAACCUGGGAACGGCAUCCGGAACUGUCAAGCUAGAGUGCAGGAGAGGAAGGUAGAAUUCCCGGUGUAGCGGUGAAAUGCGUAGAGAUCGGGAGGAAUACCAGUGGCGAAGGCGGCCUUCUGGACUGACACUGACACUGAGGUGCGAAAGCGUGGGUAGCAAACAGGAUUAGAUACCCGUGUAGC